UCGGAUGUGACACAGUAUUUGUUGCUCUAAGUGUGUUGUAAUGUGUUUGUAGAAAGGAAAAUGCCAGGCGGAGAGGGAAGAAAAGAGAUCACCUGCUGGAGGGACUGAAGCAAGUAAAAAGAUGCUCUUACACAGCAGAUGGGGACAGCCGCCGUCACCCAAUUUACUUUUGCCCAGGCUGUGCAACAGUUGCUGCACUAUGCGUCAGACCGGGCAGGAUGGACUGGACGACAAAGCAGUCAGACGUCAGAGGUCCAUGAACUGUAACUAUGCUAAAGAGGACAAAUAAUGAAAUAAGAGGCUAAUAAAAUGAAUUUGUUUUUACCUUAAA